CUCCAGAUGUUGCUGAACUACAACUCCCAUGACUCUUUGAAAUAGCCAGAGAAUCAUGGGAGUUGUAGUUCAGCAACAUCUGGAG